rnacentral:rRNA from 1 species
GACGAACGCUGGCGGCGUGCUUAACACAUGCGAGUCGAACGGAAAGGCCCUGCUUUUGUGGGGUGCUCGAGUGGCGAACGGGUGAGUAACACGUGAGUAACCUGCCCUUGACUUUGGGAUAACUUCAGGAAACUGGGGCUAAUACCGGGUAGGAGCUCCUGCUGCAUGGUGGGGGUUGGAAAGUUUCGGCGGUUGGGGAUGGACUCGCGGCUUAUCAGCUUGUUGGUGAGGUAGUGGCUUACCAAGGCUUUGACGGGUAGCCGGCCUGAGAGGGUGACCGGCCACAUUGGGCCUGAGAGACGGCCCAGACGCCUACGGGAGGCAGCAGUGGGGAAUAUUGCACAACGGGCGGAAGCCUGAUGCAGCAACGCCGCGUGCGGGAUGACGGCCUUCGGGUUGUAAACCGCUUUCGCCUGUGACGAAGCGGGAGUGACGGUAAUGGGUAAAGAAGCACCGGCUAACUACGUG